rnacentral:rRNA from 1 species
AAAGCACAAGGAUCGCAAGACCUUGCGCUUUUGGAGCGGCCGAUGUCUGAUUAGCUAGUUGGUGAGGUAAAGGCUUACCAAGGCUUCGAUCAGUAGCUGGUCUGAGAGGACGACCAGCCACACUGGGACUGAGACACGGCCCAGACUCCUACGGGAGGCAGCAGUGGGGAAUUUUGGACAAUGGGGGAAACCCUGAUCCAGCCAUGCCGCGUGAGUGAAGAAGGCCUUCGGGUUGUAAAGCUCUUUCAGCCGGAACGAAACGGUCACGGCUAAUACCCGUGAUCACUGACGGUACCGGAAGAAGAAGCACCGGCUAACUACGUGCCAGCAGCCGCGGUAAUACGUAGGGUGCGAGCGUUAAUCGGAAUUACUGGGCGUAAAGCGUGCGCAGGCGGU